AUAAUUACUUUUAUUGAAGAAUCAUUUUUGUUGUUGUAUUGUUUUGAUUUAAUUGUUUAUACUAUAGUUUAUUUGUACUGUGAGGGUUUGUUUAUGGGUUUAAUAUUUUUUUAAAAGCUGAUUUUGUUUGUUGUAGCUUGUGUAUCAGGGUUCAUUGAAUUUUAUUAUUUAUUUUUAUUUCCCGAUUUUAAAGGAGUUAAUGGUUUAUUUUAGUUACUGUUUCAUUAGUAUUAAUAAUAUUCUAUUGGUAGUGAAAUGUUAUUCGUCUUUAGUGGUUUCUGGUUUUUCAAGAAAUGAAUUUAAUUCAUGCCCUUCAUUUAAUUUUUAUUUUACUAUGUUUACUAUGUUUACUAUGUUAGGAUUAGCUCCUUGUUUUAUUAUUAUAAUUUUAUAUUUUAUUUAGUUUUGUAAAUUUUAUAAUGAUUUUCAAUUUGAUUAUGUUAAAAUUUCAUUUAUUCUUUUGUUUAUUUUCUUUAAUUUAAUUUGUUUAUUGGAAUGUUUGUUUUAUUUUUUAUUGUAUAGUAAUUAUUAUGUAAUUAGUAAAUUUUUCUUUUAUGUUUAUUUUUAUGAUGGUAAGUUCUUUUGAGGAAUUAGGCAAAAUUUUAUGUCCGCCUGUUUAACAAAAACAUCUUUUCUCGGUAGUUUUUGAAGUAUGGCCUGCCCGCUGACGUUGUUUGAAGGGCCGCGGUAUUUUGACCGUGCAAAGGUAGCAUAAUCAUUAGUUCUUUAAUUGUGAUCUGGUAUGAAUGGCUUGACGAGACAUAUACUGUCUUAGUGUUUUGAAUUGUUUGUUGAAUUUGGUUUUUGGGUUAAAAUUCUUAGAUGUUUUUAUGGGACGAGAAGACCCUAUAGAGUUUGACAUUUAUUUUAUUCUUUGUUGUUUUGUUUGUUUUAAGUAUUGUGAUUAAUUUAAGUGUUUUGUUGGGGUGAUGAGAGGAAUUGAGUAACUCCUCUUUGUUGAUUUAUAUUUAUUUAUAUUUUUUUGAUCCAUUUGUUUUGAUUAUAAGAUUAAAUUACCUUAGGGAUAACAGCGUUAUCUUUCCUGAGAGUUCUUAUUGGCGGGAAGGUUUGCGACCUCGAUGUUGGAUUAAGGUUAAUUUCUGGUGUAGGAGCUGGAAUAAUUAGGUCUGUUCGACCUUUAAAAUCUUACAUGAUCUGAGUUCAGACCGGCGUGAGCCAGGUUGGUUUCUAUCUAUAAUAGGUUUAUAUAUCUUAGUACGAGAGGACCGGAUAUUUGAAAUAAUUUUAUUUAUGUGAUUUUUAUUAAUAUAAAGCUAUUUUGGCAGAUAAGUGCAU
rnacentral:rRNA from 1 species